rnacentral:rRNA from 1 species
CGGGUGGUAAUGCCGGAUGCUCCGGUUGGAUGCAUGUCCUUCCGGGAAAGAUUCCAUCGGUAUGGGAUGGGGUCGCGUCCUAUCAGCUUGAUGGCGGGGUAACGGCCCACCAUGGCUUCGACGGGUAGCCGGCCUGAGAGGGCGACCGGCCACAUUGGGACUGAGAUACGGCCCAGACUCCUACGGGAGGCAGCAGUGGGGAAUAUUGCACAAUGGGCGCAAGCCUGAUGCAGCGACGCCGCGUGCGGGAUGGAGGCCUUCGGGUUGUAAACCGCUUUUGAUCGGGAGCAAGCCCUUCGGGGUGAGUGUACCCUUCGAAUAAGCACCGGCUAACUACGUGCCAGCAGCCGCGGUAAUACGUAGGGUGCAAGCGUUAUCCGGAAUUAUUGGGCGUAAAGGGCUCGUAGGCGGUUCGUCGCGUCCGGUGUGAAAGCCCAUCGCUUAACGGUGGGUCUGCGCCGGGUACGGGCGGGCUGGAGUGCGGUAGGGGAGACUGGAAUUCCCGGUGUAACGGUGGAAUGUGUAGAUAU